UACGUAGGGGGCAAGCGUUGUCCGGAUUUAUUGGGCGUAAAGAGCUCGUAGGCGGUUCGGUAAGUCGGAUGUGAAAUCUCCACGCUCAACGUGGAGGGGCCAUUCGAUACUGCCGUGACUCGAGUCCGGUAGGGGAGUGUGGAAUUCCCGGUGUAGCGGUGAAAUGCGCAGAGAUCGGGAGGAACACCAAUGGCGAAGGCAGCUCGCUGGGACGUGACUGACGCUGAGACGCGAAAGCGUGGGGAGCAAACAGG
rnacentral:rRNA from 1 species